GGCGGAAUACCGAAGUGGUCAUAACGGCGCAGUCUUGAAAACUGAUGUGAGCUAACUACUCCCGUGGGUUCGAGUCCUACUUCCGCCG
rnacentral:tRNA from 1 species